UUUUUAGGAAACCGGCGGCAGUUAACUACCGAGGAAUUCCUCGGUAGUUAACUGCCGAGGGAAAU
rfam:Medicago truncatula strain A17 chromosome 1, whole genome shotgun sequence.